rnacentral:rRNA from 1 species
AUUGAACGCUGGCGGCAUGCCUUACACAUGCAAGUCGAACGGUAACAGGUCUUCGGAUGCUGACGAGUGGCGAACGGGUGAGUAAUACAUCGGAACGUGCCCGAUCGUGGGGGAUAACGAAGCGAAAGCUUUGCUAAUACCGCAUAAGAUCUACGGAUGAAAGCAGGGGACCGCAAGGCCUUGCGCGAACGGAGCGGCCGAUGGCAGAUUAGGUAGUUGGUGGGAUAAAAGCUUACCAAGCCGACGAUCUGUAGCUGGUCUGAGAGGACGACCAGCCACACUGGGACUGAGACACGGCCCAGACUCCUACGGGAGGCAGCAGUGGGGAAUUUUGGACAAUGGGCGAAAGCCUGAUCCAGCCAUGCCGCGUGCAGGAUGAAGGCCUUCGGGUUGUAAACUGCUUUUGUACGGAACGAAAAGACUCUGGUUAAUACCUGGGGUCCAUGGCGGUACCGUAAGAAUAAGCACCGGCUAACUACGUG